GUGGGGAAUUUUCCGCAAUGGGCGAAAGCCUGACGGAGCAAUACCGCGUGAGGGAGGAAGGCUCUUGGGUUGUAAACCUCAAAACUUAGGGAAGAAAAAAAUGACGGUACCUAAUGUAAGCAUCGGCUAACUCCGUGCCAGCAGCCGCGGUAAUACGGAGGAUGCAAGCGUUAUCCGGAAUCAUUGGGCGUAAAGAGUCCGUAGGUGGCACUUCAAGUCUGCUUUCAAAGACCGAAGCUCAACUUCGGAAAGGGAGUGGAAACUGAAGAGCUAGAGUAUAGUAGGGGUAGAGGGAAUUCCUAGUGUAGC
rnacentral:rRNA from 1 species